rnacentral:rRNA from 1 species
GACGAACGCUGGCGGCGUGCUUAACACAUGCAAGUCGAACGAUGAACCCGGAGCUUGCUCCGGCGGAUUAGUGGCGAACGGGUGAGUAACACGUGAGUAACCUGCCCUUGACUCUGGGAUAACUGCUAGAAAUGGUAGCUAAUACCGGAUACGACCCUCGGUGGCAUCACCAGGGGGUGGAAAGAAUUUCGGUCAAGGAUGGACUCGCGGCCUAUCAGCUAGUUGGUGAGGUAACGGCUCACCAAGGCGACGACGGGUAGCCGGCCUGAGAGGGUGGCCGGCCACACUGGGACUGGGACACGGCCCAGACUCCUACGGGAGGCAGCAGUGGGGAAUAUUGCGCAAUGGGGGCAACCCUGACGCAGCCAUGCCGCGUGUGUGAAGAAGGCCUUCGGGUUGUAAAGCACUUUCGGAUGUGACGAUGAUGACGGUAACAUCAGAAGAAGCCCCGGCUAACUUCGUGCCAGCCGCCGCGGUAA